rnacentral:rRNA from 1 species
UCUGAUUUAUGUCACCCUGCAGCCCAAGAUCGUUUACUCACUGAAGCUAAGCAGGGCUGAGCCUGGUCAGUACCUGGAUGGGAGACCACAUGGGAACACUAGGUUGCUGUUGGAA